rnacentral:rRNA from 1 species
GUUACAAUGGCAGGUACAGAGGGGUGCUACCGGGUGCCGGAUGCCGAUCUCGAAAACCUGUCCCAGUUCGGACUGGAGUCUGCAACCCGACUCCACGAAGUUGGAUUCGCUAGUAAUCGCGCAUCAGCCAUGGCGCGGUGAAUACGUUCCCGGGCCUUGUACACACCGCCCGUCAAGCCAUGGGAGCCGGGGGCGCCUGAAGUCCGGGACCGCGACGGACCGGCCUAGGGCGAAACUGGUGACUGGGGCUAAGUCGUAACAAGGUACC